rnacentral:lncRNA from 1 species
CGGUGAGGACAAGGUUCCUGGCGGUGUGGACAAGGUUCCUGCCGGUGAGGACAAGGUUCCUGGCAGUGAGGACAAAGUUUCUGUCGGUGAGGACAAGGGUCCUGUCGGUGAGGACAAGGUUCCUGGCGGUGUGGACAAGGUUCCUGGCGGUGAGGACAAGGUACCUGGCGGUGUGGACAAGGUUCCUGCCGGUGAGGACAAGGUUCUUUCCUGUGAGGACAAGGUUCCUGGUGGUGUGGACAAGGUUCCUGGCGGUGAGGACAAGGUUCCUGGCAGUGAGGACAAGGUUCCUGCCGGUGAGGACAAGGUUCCUGGCGGUGUGGACAAGGUACCUGCUAGUGAGAACAAGGUUCC